CGUUCUCAGCCCCGCCCCUGACGCGCGGGCGUUUGGUGGACGCGGAGGUCUGGGCGGCUGCGAAGAGCGUGGUGUGGCCGGGCGCUGGGGUCCGAGCCAGACUGGCUGGUCGGCGGCAGCCGUCACAGGAAAUAAGUGACCAUGGUGCUCAAUAGUUUGGAUAAGAUGAUUCAACUCCAGAAAAACACGGUUAACAUCAGGAAUAUCUGUGUUUUGGCUCAUGUUGACCAUGGCUCCGGACGCACACGCUCACGGGCCAUGGCUCACAGGCCCAGCCGCUCCGCGUCAUGUGGGAUCUUCCCGCACCGGCUCUCGCACCCGUGGCCCCUGCAUCGGCAGGCAGAUUCUCAACCACUGCGCCACCAUGGAAGCCCGUCCGAUGUUUAUUGAACAUCUGCUAAUUUCGAGGUAUUUUGCUAGCUAUGUCAGAAGGUAGAGAUUUAUGCACAGGGCACCAGCCCACUAUAUAGAGAGGUGAUUUGGGGGUUGAGGCAGCACAACAUGAGACAGGGAAAAAGUAGACUCUAAGGGUUGAGAGAGCUGGAGGGUCGGGAAGCUAGUAAUGAGUUAAGAAAAGGGCUUUAUAACAGUGUUAGAGAUGACCCCUGAAGGGUGAUUCAAGAUGGCAGAUGGGGACACACAUUUCAAAUGGGAAUAAUGUCAGCAAGGGGAGAAUGAAAUGUAUGUGACCAAAGCACGGGAUAUGAGAGGUGGGCAGGGAUGCAUGGUGCUUAGCUUCUCACAGACAUUGCUUUCAUACCACAGCAUUGCCUCCUGCUAAGCCCGCGCUUGGUUUCAGACUCCUUCUUAGUUCACGUAGCCACAGCAAAGUGAUAGGAUUGGGAGUGUGAAAUAAAACCUCUAUACCCUCCUGAAGGUGAGGGAGUAGGAGAGAAAAGUGAAGAGAUAGGCUGGGCUGUAUCUUAAAGAGCCCUUCGUGCCAGCUAGGCACUAGGAUAUGGGUUAAGUGCUCCAGCUCUGGAGUUAGACAACCUGAGUUCAGAACUCAAAACAUUUCAAGUUACUUUGCCUUUUUGAGCUUCAGUAUACAGCCUCUGUGUAGCGGAAUAAAAACCAAACCUACCUUAUCGCAUUGUGAGGAUUAAAUGAUGAUAAUGAGAAGCCCUUGGCAGGUGCUUGCUUUAUCAUGAAGAUGAUCAUUGGCAUUUAUUAUUAGGUAAUAGGGUGCCAUUGGGAGAACAGAAUAAAGCAGGGAUGUUGUAAUCAAAUAGUACAUUAGUAAGAAUGGUCCGGUGGAAGUGUUUUGGAUGGGUUGAAAGGCAGAAAAGAUGUUAGGUGGCUAUUGCCAUUGGUAUAAUACUGGAAGUGAAGUCCUUACGGGAACUAAAAGGAGAAGUAAUGGAUCACUUUGUAAGUGAAGGCAACUGAGAAUGAGUUUUGUAUAUCAAUCUGGUGACUAACCCUACCCUAUGAGUUUCUAUAAUUAUACUGCUCACAGUUUGAGGACAUGAAGUUUGACAAAAAUAUUUUUUUUGCUUUGUGAAUUAAAUCAUGCGGCAAGUCAGUGGCAUGUGUGUGUACAGCAAACUCCUUUAAAGUUUACUAUUUAAAAAUAUGUUAAGAUAAUACUAUCCUAGAAAACCUGUGAUUCAUUUAUUCAUUCAACAGAUAAUUCGCUGAAUGUUUCUUACAUGCCAAGACUUGUUCUGGUCCCAGGGAUACAGUUGUGAAUAAAGCAAAGUCCCUGCUUUCUUGACACUUGCAUUAGGGGGGAUAUAUGCUCGCCAUACUUAGAAUGUUCCACUACAUUGGAAGCAGGAAAAUGACGCUCUAGGGUUAUACGCUGAUACAUAAUAUUUACAUGGCAAGCACUUAAUACAGUAUUAAAGGUCCAAAUGGGUACUUGAGUAUCGUAAGAAUUUCUUUUUAUUAUUAGAGUAGGUUCCUGGGUUUAUGUUUGAACAUAGAUACUAGGUAGCAUUGGUCACUGCAGUGUAGCUGAUGCCCUCCAUUGGCUUGCAAACAGUAGGAGAUAUGGGUAAAUUUCAUGAAUUUCUUUGCCAAAUGGGUAUUUUCUUCCGACAGUUUAACUGGCAAAAGCCAGCUGAGGCCAUACGUGGGGAAAUACGGCAAAAGAUAAUGUUCCAUUGUCUUGUGGUGAUGUUUUACCCAGUAUAUCAUUCAGAGGAAAAAAUGAUUGCUGUGCUACCCUUUUGUCAUGCUGAGCUAUCAAGAGUUUAAGUUUAUAGGCCUGGACACAGUUACGGAUAUCUGAUGACUGAUGCAAUCAUUACAAUAAACUUGAUCAAAUUCUUUGUCGGACAGAUUGGAGUAACUGUAAAAGUCGCUUGUCA